UGAGGAAUAUUGGUCAAUGGGGGCAACCCUGAACCAGCCCAGUCGCGUGAAGGAUGAAGGUCUUAUGGAUUGUAAACUUCUUUUAUACAGGAAUAAAUUGGGGGACGUGUCCCCUUUUGCAUGUACUGUAUGAAUAAGGAUCGGCUAACUCCGUGCCAGCAGCCGCGGUAAUACGGAGGAUCCGAGCGUUAUCCGGAUUUAUUGGGUUUAAAGGGUGCGCAGGCGGGAUGUUAAGUCGGCGGUGAAAUUUUGCAGCUCAACUGUAAAAGUGCCUUCGAUACUGGCUUCCUUGAGUGUAGAUGAAGUAGGCGGAAUUUGUAGUGUAGCGGUGAAAUGCUUAGAUAUCACGAGGAACUCCGAUUGCGCAGGCAGCUUACUAAACUACAACUGACGCUCAUGCACGAAGGCGUGGGGAUCAAACA
rnacentral:rRNA from 1 species